AUGCUGGUAUCGAGAGAUGCGAUCAGUUAGAUGAUCGUGUUUGAGACACAGUGCGAGCGCAUCUGACGAUACUGACGUAGUGCGAAGCGUGGAGCAACAGAUAGAUACCUGUAGUCACGCUGUAACGAUGAUGCUAGAUGUCGGCCUACCGUUCGUGUCGAAGUUAACGCGAUAGCAUCCGCUGCGAGUACGUGCAGGCUGAACUCAAGGAAUUGACGGGCCGCACAGCGUGAGUAUGUGUUAAUUCGAUGCAACGCGAGACCUUACUGACUUGACAUCCUGAGAUCCUCUAGACUAGAGGAGUGCCUUCGACGAAUUCAGUGACAGUGCUGCAUGCUGUCGUCAGCUCGUGCCGUGAGUGUUGGUUAAGUCCAGCAACGAGCGCAACCCGUAUUGCUAGUUGCCAUCACAUAAUGUGGCACUCUAGUGAGACUGCCCGGGUCAACCGGGAGGAAGGUGGUGACGACGUCAAGUCAUCAUGGCCUUACGUCCAGGGCUACACACGUCAUACAAUGUGAUACAGAGGUCGCGAAGCCGCGAGGUCGAGCCAAUCCCAGAAAUCCAUCCCAGUCCGGAUCGCAGUCUGCAACUCGACUGUGUGAAGUUGAAUCGCUAGUAAUCCCAGAUCAGCAUGCUGGGUGAUACGUUCCCGGCGUUGACACACUGCCGUCACACCACG
rnacentral:rRNA from 1 species